UUCAAAUUUACAGAAGAUGGUAUAGAAAGAUCUUAAAGCCCUACCGUAUAGAGAGCCUAGGACAUCAAUAAUGGAUUCUGGAUUUUCCAUAUACUUUUGUUUACACCAAAAAUGGAAAAGAACUAAACAUUUCAUUUUCAAUUUCUGUAUGGUGUUACUUCUGUCUUCAAAGCAUCUCUGACUUCUCUCUGACCAAACUGUCCACCAAAUGCAAGCUGGGACUAUUUUCAUCUUUCUUUCUCAUUUGAUAAGAUGCAGUAAUUGCUCCAGCAUCUUAGGAAGUCCAUUAUAUCCCUAGGCAUUACCCAUAUGAUCCCCUUCAGAUGGAUGAAAAUCCUCCAUAUUUGUUCUGUGAUCCUGCAAUGCAAAAAAGGAUGACUGAUUGUCUCAGCCUCUUCACCGCAUAGAUAGCAUUUGGAGCAUAGGUGGAAGCCCCUUCUGAUUAGGAUGUCCUGAGUCAGAACUGCUUUUCUAGCCAAGAGCCAAGUAAAGCAGGCAACUUUAUAUGGAAUUUUGACUUUCCAUAUUAACUUCCAAGGCCAGCAAUCAAUCUACUUAUUAGAGACGUUGAAUUCCUUGUAUGCUGAUUUGACUGAGAAAAUACCUUGCUUGUUCCCUUGCCAUAGAAUACAGUCUUCAGAGAGUGAUGUCCCCUUGAACUGAUCUAGUGUUUUGUAAAAUUCUGUUAACCUGGUUAUCUCCCAGUCAUUGAGUAGCCUUCUGUAGCUGAGGUUCCAACCAAACUGAUCUAGUAUUUUGUAAAAUUCUGUUAUCCUGGUUAUCUCCCAGCCGUUGAGUAGUCUUCUGUAGCUAAGGUUCCAACCAUGGAUAGACCAUACUUCAUCCACAUUUGCUUCUUGUUGCUGGUUCAGGAUGUAGAUGUCAGGAAAUAGCUGCUUAAAUGAAUUUUGGCCAAGCCAGUUGUCUUCCCAGAAUGAUGUUUUCAAACCAUUACCUAUUCUGAAGUGGGUCUUGCUUCUGAAUUUUGACCAUAAGUUUCUAAUGGACUUCCAGAGGCUUACUCCAUAAGGACCACUAACAUGUUUGGUUGCCCAGUUGCCUUCUACUCCAUAUUUCCC
rnacentral:lncRNA from 1 species